UACGUAGGUGGCAAGCGUUAUCCGGAAUUACUGGGCGUAAAGCGUGCGCAGGCGGUGAGCUGUGUCCGAUGUGAAAGCCCCGGGCUUAACCUGGGAAUGGCAUUGGAAACUGGCUCGCUGGAGUGUGGCAGAGGGGGGUGGAAUUCCGCGUGUAGCAGUGAAAUGCGUAGAGAUGCGGAGGAACACCGAUGGCGAAGGCAGCCCCCUGGGCUAACACUGACGCUCAGGCACGAAAGCGUGGGGAGCAAACAGG
rnacentral:rRNA from 1 species